UUUCGCAAUGCCCGAAAGGGUGACGAAGCGACGCCGCGUGCGGGAAGAAGGCCUUCGGGUUGUAAACCGCUGUCGGGAGUUAAGAAAUGUAAGGAUGUUGAUAGCAUCUUUGCUUGACUAAGGCUCCGGAGGAAGCCACGGCUAACUCUGUGCCAGCAGCCGCGGUAAUACAGAGGCGGCAAGCGUUGUUCGGAAUUAUUGGGCGUAAAGAGCACGUAGGCGGCUAUGUAAGUCGGUUGUGAAAGCCUUCCGCUCAACGGGAGAACAGCAUCCGAUACUGCAUGGCUUGAGUGCGGGAGGGGAGAGUGGAACUUCUGGUGGAGCGGUGAAAUGCGUAGAUAUCAGAAGGAACGUCGGCGGCGAAAGCGACUCUCUGGCCUAUUACUGACACUGAGUGUGCGAAAGUUAGGGGAGCAAACGGGAUUAGAUACCCCGGUAGUCCUAACUGUAAACGAUGGGCACUAAGUAGAGGGGUUUUA
rnacentral:rRNA from 1 species